UUCAUGUUCUCUUAUUUUCAUGUCAUAAUAGGCUGUCACUCGGGUAAAGCCCUACAUGUGCACUAUGCCACUGAGAAUGGAUGAGGGGUGGAAUCAAAUCCAGUUUAACCUGGCUGAUUUCACCAAGAGAGCAUAUGGUACUAAUUAUGUGGAGACACUGCGAGUUCAGGUCCAUGCAAACUGUCGCCUGAGAAGGAUUUACUUCUCUGACCGCCUCUACUCUGAAGAGGAACUCCCUCCAGAGUUCAAAUUGUACCUUCCAAUGCAGAAAUCAUGAAAAAAUGGGAGUUUGGAGUUGUAGCCUGGAGAAAUUGAUGUGAUUUUAUAUUCGUACUACAUAUAGUUCUACUAGUUGACUUUAUUCUAAACUUUGUAUCUAUGUUGUGCUAGAUUAAUAUUGCUCGUUCAAGUAACAUUAAGUUGUGUAGGGUGUUCUGAUGCUUGUCUCUAAUAUUGGAAGUUGACUUUGAUGAUGA